AAUUGGAGAUAAUGGGGCUCGAACCCACGACCCUCACAAUGCCAUUGUGAUGCUCUCCCAAACUGAGCUAUAUCCCC
rnacentral:tRNA from 1 species